UACGAAGGGGGCUAGCGUUGCUCGGAAUCACUGGGCGUAAAGCGCACGUAGGCGGCUUUCUAAGUCAGGGGUGAAAUCCUGGAGCUCAACUCCAGAACUGCCUUUGAUACUGGAGAGCUUGAGUCCGGAAGAGGUGAGUGGAACUCCGAGUGUAGAGGUGAAAUUCGUAGAUAUUCGGAAGAACACCAGUGGCGAAGGCGGCUCACUGGUCCGGUACUGACGCUGAUGUGCGAAAGCGUGGGGAGCAAACAGGAUAGAA
rnacentral:rRNA from 1 species